CAAUCUCCUCUCCCCCUAUUCCCAUAUUCUCCCAUUCCGUUUCGUCCCGUCGUCAUCAUCUGUCUUGGCUUGACUUGGCUUGGCUUAUUUGGCUCUUCAGUCUUCACGCACGCGUAUUAUCCAACUCUUCUUGUGUAUAUAGUCGUAUAUCUAUGUCAACAUUUUCUCGCUUUUUUGUGCAGCUUGUGUACACCAUCACGAUGCGCGUUCUGUCCGGCAACCGCGAACGCUUAGGGGCCGAGAAAAAAAUGACGAUGAACGCAGCAAUCUCAUCCGUUGCUUGAUGGCGUUCGUUCAACUAGGGUUAUCAUGGUGGUGGUUUAUGUGUUUAGAUCUGAUUACCUCGGCUCCCAGCGCGCUCAUCUCGCAAUGUUCCCGUUGUCGUCGAUUCUCGGUGGCCGAUAUUUUUGUAACCCGCACUCUAUUUUUGUUUUGUGCUUGUUUUCUUUUUUUUUCUU